CGCGUAGGACAAGGCAGGAGGAGGGCGGCCCUUAUCGGUUCCCUAUAGGACUGGCUUCGCUGCCGGGGUCGGAGAUUCCUCGGCGCGGAGCUAGGGGCGGGUCCGGAGGCGGAGGCGACAGCGCCCGGCGGGGUACGCGCGGCUGCGACCCCGUCACUCCCCCGCCGCCUCCGCCCCUAACCCUCGGCCCCGUGCGCGAGCGAGCGAGGGAGCGAACGCAGCGCAACAAAACAAACUAGUGCCGGCUUCCUGUUGUGCAACUCGCUCCUGAGUGAGUCGGGGGCCGAAAGGGUGCUGCGGCUGGGAAGCCCGGGCGCCGGGGACCUGCGCGCGCUGCCCGGCCUGGCCGGAGCCUGUAGCCCGGGGGCGCCACGGCCGGGCUCGCAGUCCCCCCACGCCGGCCCCCCGGUCCCCGCCGAGCCAGUGUCCUCACCCUGUGGUUUCCUUUCGCUUCUCGCCUCCCAAACACCUCCAGCAAGUCGGAGGGCGCGAACGCGGAGCCAGAAACCCUUCCCCAAAGUUUCUCCCGCCAGGUACCUAAUUGAAUCAUCCAUAGGAUGACAAAUCAGCCAGGGCCAAGAUUUCCAGACACUUGAGUGACUUCCCGGUCCCCGAGGUGACUUGUCAGCUCCAGUGAGUAACUUGGAACUGUCGCUCGGGGCAAGGUGUGUGUCUAGGAGAGAGCCGGCGGCUCACUCACGCUUUCCAGAGAGCGACCCGGGCCGACUUCAAAAUACACACAGGGUCAUUUAUAGGGACUGGAGCCGCGCGCAGGACAACGUCUCCGAGACUGAGACAUUUUCCAAACAGUGCUGACAUUUUGUCGGGCCCCAUAAAAAAUGUAAACGCGAGGUGACGAACCCGGCGGGGAGGGUUCGUGUCUGGCUGUGUCUGCGUCCUGGCGGCGUGGGAGGUUAUAGUUCCAGACCUGGCGGCUGCGGAUCGCCGGGCCGGUACCCGCGAGGAGUGUAGGUACCCUCAGCCCGACCACCUCCCGCAAUCAUGGGGACACCGGCUUGGAUGAGACACAGGCGUGGAAAACAGCCUUCGUGAAACUCCACAAACACGUGGAACUUGAAAAGACAACUACAGCCCCGCGUGUGCGCGAGAGACCUCACGUCACCCCAUCAGUUCCCACUUCGCCAAAGUUUCCCUUCAGUGGGGACUCCAGAGUGGUGCGCCCCAUGCCCGUGCGUCCUGUAACGUGCCCUGAUUGUGUACCCCUCUGCCCGCUCUACUUGAAAUGAAAACACAAAAACUGUUCCGAAUUAGCGCAACUUUAAAGCCCCGUUAUCUGUCUUCUACACUGGGCGCUCUUAGGCCACUGACAGAAACAUGGUUUGAACCCUAAUUGUUGCUAUCAGUCUCAGUCAGCGCAGGUCUCUCAGUGACCUGUGACGCCGGGAGUUGAGGUGCGCGUAUCCUUAAACCCGCGCGAACGCCACCGGCUCAGCGUAGAAAACUAUUUGUAAUCCCUAGUUUGCGUCUCUGAGCUUUAACUCCCCCACACUCUCAAGCGCCCGGUUUCUCCUCGUCUCUCGCCUGCGAGCAAAGUUCCUAUGGCAUCCACUUACCAGGAAGAAAAUUCAAAGACUUUAUGCAAUGCUUAGAAUAAGGAGGAGAGCCUGUCUGCGCCCUGCUCCAGUGACCCUCUCCUGUCUGACACCCACUACUAAACCAGGUCAGUUGCAUCAUACCCUGAAUUCUAGCCUCAAAAUAAAAAUAUAUACUAAAUAAUGGGGAGAAAAGGGAAGAAAAGAAAUGGAAAAUAGGGAACGAGGGUGCAGAGAAGAAGGUGAAUUAUUUAAAAACUAGUGGAAAUGAAGAAGGCAGCGCAGCACUGAUACCUCAGAAUAAUUGAGAGCAACUAGUUAGUUUGGGGCAGAAUUAAGCUCUGGAACAAAAGCAAUUCAGUGGCUUUUCAGACUCCUCCCCAACUCACCUCAAGUCUUAAAUAUACCUGCAAAGGGGUUUGAAAAAACUUGGAGAUUUUCCACAAAUCCUAACUUCUUACGAUGUUAAAAGCACUCAGGAGAUUUUCACGUGUAUACACAUUUCUUUUCUUGUUUAACCCUAUACAGCAGGGAAGAGUGUAAUUUUAUUGUCCAUGGAACAAAUGACCAAUUGCCCCCAAAGCAGACCUGCCCCGGGUAAGAGUGUUGACUUCCUUCAGGCUGGGGACACUGCCCCAAGCUCAUGAUCUACAUUUUUUUUCACUUCAUUCUCACAACAUCCGAAUCAGGUAAGAUCUAGCACAACUUCCAUUUUACAGAUGAGAAAAGAGAGGCAGAGAGAGGUGGAAUAUCUCCCCACUGUCACCCAACUCAUGUGGGACUAGCCAAACUUCUACCUAUUAACCAUUGCUCUAUUACCUUUUCAGGGCAGGAAACCCUACUUCCACCAGACAUGUAUUUGUUUAUUCACUCAGGCAGGUGGUAUGUUGGAAGAAGAGUGGACUUUGGAAUCAGAAAACCUGGAAUCCCAACUUCACCGCUAACCGAGAGACCUUGAGCUGGUUCCUAAACCACGGGGAACUUCAGUUCCACUACAUGAGUUAUUGCAAAGGUUGAAUCGGAAUUGUGACACUGGCCAGCACACGUGUGAAACCAGGGGCAUCCCCUAUUGAUAAGGAGCCCAGCCCAAGAGCUUCAAGGGAAAUUGACCCCAGCCCCAGCUCCACUGAUGGGCUCGAUGAUUCAGAGAGGAAUCUCACUCCCUUGGUCAAAGUGAAUGGCUCAUAAAUCUGGGCCUAAGUCAAUCCGUGCAAGACAUUCCCCUGGCCAUAGGGAUUGGUUAAAAAAUGGACAUGUAACCCAGUUUGGGCUAAAUGAGAUGUGAACAGGAAAGUUAUUUGAUAGCUUCUGAGGAAGGUAGCUUCUCUUCUUUCUAGAGAGCCACUGGAAAGGUAGCCUUUUCUCCUCUGUGUUGUGGAGAGAAAAAAAAAGUGAAACUGUCUCCCUCUCAGCCCACACAGAAGGCUCACACUUGGUGAAGGGAAGGGUGGAGAAGAUUACAGAGAAUAGCCCUGAUGGAACCACACCUGAUUUCUACCUGACCUCUUAAUUUUUUCAUUUGUACAAGUCAGUAAAUGCCUUUUAAUUUUUAAACAAAUAAUUACAGCAACUUAUAGAGGUACCUAAGGUAUUAAGUUACCAUCAUGAAUACAAAGAUAAGCAAGACAAACUUCAAGGGGCUCACCACCUAAUAAAUAUUAUACUUUGCUUUUAUGACAUCAUUUUAGUCUUUUUUGUUGUUUUUUGUUUUUGUUUCUAAAUAGGAUCUUGCUUUAUCACCCAAACUGUAAUGCAGUGGUGUGAUCAUAGCUCACUACAGCCCCGACCUCCUGGGCUCAAGUGAUCCUCUUGCCUCAGCCUCCUAAGGAGCUGGGACUACAGGUGCGUGCCCAGCUAAUUUCUUUUAUUUUUGUAGAGGCAGGGGGGUCUCGCUAUGUUGCCCAGGCUGUGGGUUUUUCAGGGUAAAGUUAUGGCUCAUUCUCUCUUCAGGACCCUGCUACCAUUUGGUCAAUUUAAUAUUAUGCAAGAGAAAUUCCAUUUCCCUAGUAGUUACACAAUGCCCGCUUUCAGACCAGCUAGUCAACCCUGUGAGGGUCAGAUAGAGUAGUUUAUCCAUUUGGUUGUCAGACAACUGCCUCGAACAGCCAGGCCAUUUCUACAUGUUCUCAGUUACUGGUUAACAAAUGUUGCCCCAGAAUUCAGCACCUAAUAGGAAAUACAUUCAUUUCCAAAUUCCUACUGAAAUAGGAUUUUUCUCAUUCCUAGAUAAAACAGAGGCACCCAGAUUUUCCUGGAAUGGCAUUCAGAAAUAGAGAAGGAAUCAUAGAGAAAUGUCUGCCCAGGCAUCUCUGAGUCUCAUGCCUUUUUGCUGUUGCUGCUGUUAUGACUCCUACCUUGGAAAGUUUCAGUCAUCCUUGAACAUCCUCCCCACCCCCAUGCUUUCCUGUCUUCUGUUUCAUAACUAAAUGCCAUUUAAAACUCUAGCUAUAGAUACCCCUUGCUGAUAUAAGCAACAGAAGUAGAGAGUCCUUAGAUUCUAGACUGAAUUUAGGGCCCAACAGUUAGACAAUUGGAACUUGAUAAUAACGUUAUCUCAGCAGAUUGCGUAAGUCAGAAAUGUUCUCCCUGUCACUGCUUUCUUUUUCCUUCCAGCAAGAAGUGGACAUUAAGGAGAAAGUGAAGGUGGCAAGUUAUGAGUGAUCUGUUUAAGACACAGUUUAGUUAUGGCAAUGAUAACAACUCACAUUUAUUAGGGGCUUAUUAUGUAUCAGGCUGAGCAAAGUACGUAAGAUUCUUGAUCUCAUUUAAUUCUCACAGUGUAGAGGCUAAUGAGUGGUGGAGGUGAGAGGAGGACGCAGCCUCCCUUGGCUCCAGGGCACACACUCUUAGCUGUAACACUCUAUUGCCUCCAUAAAGUAUGCUUAAU
rnacentral:lncRNA from 10 species